GAGCUUGCUCUUGUGGAUCAGUGGCGAACGGGUGAGUAACACGUGAGCAACCUGCCCCUGACUCUGGGAUAAGCGCUGGAAACGGCGUCUAAUACUGGAUAUGUGACGUGACCGCAUGGUCUGCGUUUGGAAAGAUUUUUCGGUUGGGGAUGGGCUCGCGGCCUAUCAGCUUGUUGGUGAGGUAAUGGCUCACCAAGGCGUCGACGGGUAGCCGGCCUGAGAGGGUGACCGGCCACACUGGGACUGAGACACGGCCCAGACUCCUACGGGAGGCAGCAGUGGGGAAUAUUGCACAAUGGGCGAAAGCCUGAUGCAGCAACGCCGCGUGAGGGAUGACGGCCUUCGGGUUGUAAACCUCUUUUAGCAGGGAAGAAGCGAAAGUGACGGUACCUGCAGAAAAAGCGCCGGCUAACUACGUGCCAGCAGCCGCGGUAAUACGUAGGGCGCAAGCGUUAUCCGGAAUUAUUGGGCGUAAAGAGCUCGUAGGCGGUUUGUCGCGUCUGCUGUGAAAUCCCGAGGCUCAACCUCGGGCCUGCAGUGGGUACGGGCAGACUAGAGUGCGGUAGGGGAGAUUGGAAUUCCUGGUGUAGCGGUGGAAUGCGCAGAUAUCAGGAGGAACACCGAUGGCGAAGGCAGAUCUCUGGGCCGUAACUGACGCUGAGGAGCGAAAGGGUGGGGAGCAAACAGGCUUAGAUACCCUGGUAGUCCACCCCGUAAACGUUGGGAACUAGUUGUGGGGUCCAUUCCACGGAUUCCGUGACGCAGCUAACGCAUUAAGUUCCCCGCCUGGGGAGUACGGCCGCAAGGCUAAAACUCAAAGGAAUUGACGGGGACCCGCACAAGCGGCGGAGCAUGCGGAUUAAUUCGAUGCAACGCGAAGAACCUUACCAAGGCUUGACAUAUACGAGAACGGGCCAGAAAUGGUCAACUCUUUGGACACUCGUAAACAGGUGGUGCAUGGUUGUCGUCAGCUCGUGUCGUGAGAUGUUGGGUUAAGUCCCGCAACGAGCGCAACCCUCGUUCUAUGUUGCCAGCACGUAAUGGUGGGAACUCAUGGGAUACUGCCGGGGUCAACUCGGAGGAAGGUGGGGAUGACGUCAAAUCAUCAUGCCCCUUAUGUCUUGGGCUUCACGCAUGCUACAAUGGCCGGUACAAAGGGCUGCAAUACCGUGAGGUGGAGCGAAUCCCAAAAAGCCGGUCCCAGUUCGGAUUGAGGUCUGCAACUCGACCUCAUGAAGUCGGAGUCGCUAGUAAUCGCAGAUCAGCAACGCUGCGGUGAAUACGUUCCCGGGUCUUGUACACACCGCCCGUCAAGUCAUGAAAGUCGGUAACACCUGAAGCCGGUGGCCUAACCC
rnacentral:rRNA from 1 species